GGGCCCUUAGCUCAGCCCGGCAGAGCAACUGACUUUUAAUCAGUAGGUCCAGGGUUCGAAUCCCUGAGGGCCCACCA
rnacentral:tRNA from 2 species